GAUGCAUCAAUGAUGCUAUUUGUUCAGCUAAACAUGAGUGCCUGAAAUGCUAUAUUUACCAUUAAUUCUGAAGCAUCAAUAGAAUACAGUAUUGCAUAAUCUUGCUUCAUGCUACAACUUAUUUGUUAACAAGCAGGCACAAGUGAACUGAUGAAAGGAAUACAGUAUUGCAUAAUCAUGCUUCAUGCUACAACUUAUGAAAGCGAACUGAUGAAGGAAGAGGGAUCCGGAGGCGUGGGGAUCUGCACUGCUCCAUCAAGCAUCUGUGUCACUUUAAGCAUGGUUGGCCGCAUGGUCGGCUCCUCCUGGAGGCACCAAAGGGCUACAGCCACGAAUCGCUCUGCCUUUUUGAUGUUGAAGUUUGCCUCAUCGUCGCCUUCCACCAGCAAGUCGAUCCUCCCGCACCUGUAACAGUCGUUUGCCCAGUAAGUCAGUAUCGCCUGCUCUUCAUCGGCGAUCUCUAGCUCCACAUUCCUUCUGCAGCAUACAAGCUCCAGCAGGAUCACCCCAAAGCUGUAAACAUCGACUUUGGAAGUGAUCCCUAUGUUCUUGAACCACUCUGGAGCAACGUAACCUCGAGUACCCCGGAUGCCGGUGUUUGUCUGUGUCUGAUUGGCUCGAAGAAGCUUCGCCAGGCCAAAGUCUGCAAUCUUCGCCAUAAAGUUGGCAUCAAGAAGGAUGUUCUGUGGUUUUAUGUCGCAGUGGAUAAUCUGUGUGCUGCACUCCUCGUGCAAGUAGAGCAGCCCUCGUGCCACUCCAAGUGCAACUUGCACACGGAGGUUCCAAUCCGGCCGAGCAUCACCGAAUAGGAAUUCGUUGAGCGAGCCAUUGGUCAUGAACUCAUAAACUAGCAGUCGGUGAGUUCCCUCACUGCACAAACCAAGCAGCCUGACCAAGUUCUUGUGAAACGUCUGCCCGAUGGUUUGCACCUCCACCAUGAACUCCUUCUCAGUCUCUUGCUGGAGUUUUUCAAUUUUCUUGACCGCAAUGCUGGUAGCAUGCUCAUCUUGCAGCUGUCCUUUGUACACGGUACCAGAGGCACCGCUGCCAAGCACCUCACGGAAACCACUAGUUGCCUUCUCCAGAUCAUUGUAAGUGAAAAUCUUUGGGGGCAAGAUAGAACUACCUGACGGUUGCGGUGACUGGAGUUUCUUCUUGGAGGUUAUGGAGAUACCGCAGUAAGUGCCGAAGAGCAGAAUACUGAUCAGGAGAAUGUUUACCAAUACAGAACCCCCAAAAAACAAGGAACUCCCAAGAAUCCAAUACUUCUUGUCCUUCUUCCAUUUGCUAGAGCCAGUGUUCUGGGACUGUGAAUUGUUGCCCCUCGGCACCUUGAUAAGAACUGUCCUGUCUACACUUUCCGCCAUAUACCCAUUUGAUAAAGGGAGCUUUUUCUUCCAGCAGGUAUUUGUGCUUGGCUGAAAGACGGCUGUGGCACAGAAGCAAUCAAUCACACACAGCCUCUGGCACUCGUAUACGUCGAUGGGGCUGUAUUGCUCAUAGUCAGAUUCAGGCCAAUCAACACUAUUGACCAGAGUCAUCUCAAACUGUGCCCUUGCUGCUUCCUCAUCAAGGUCACAGCUUUGUGGCACAAAGUCAGGCCUGCACCCUUUGUACUGCCUCUCCUCGUCGAAGAAUUCGUAACGUUGUGGGCAUUGGCAGCUUGUCUGAUUCUUGGUGCCAUCAAUGGUGCAGUAGCUGUUGAAGCCGCAUGCACCACUGCCUGCCUUUACCUUCACUCUCUGGCAGAUGUUCUGGGGAAUUGAGCUUACUGACGUCCAUUGCGAGGUCCCUUGGCCUCUCAUCUUUCUGCUCUUUGGGUACAGGUAUUGCCGAAAUACACCGUCUGGAUCAAGCGUGGCACGAUGAAAGAAAUCACCCUGUGUGUCCAUCGAGUACCCCUCUGCCGAAGUGAUAUUGAUCUGUGUGCCAUUUAUCAAGGUGAAGUAUACCCUGCCUGUUUCAUUGAACACCAGCUGUGAGCCGUUCCCAACCGUGUUAGAUGCCCAGUAUGCAUUGUACCGAAGUGUAGAAUGCUCGGCGAUUGGAUAAAACACAAGAUUACCAUCAGUUUGCACAGCUAGGAGAAACCGGCCAUUGGAGUAGUCUGUGGCGAUGAGACGGCUUCUGAGUACCUUGUCCUGCUGACCCACAGAAAGCACUUGUGUGGGCAGGAUGGUAUCAGCCGGGAAAUCAAAGCUCUCCCACUUUGCUUUGCCAUCUACACCGACAAGCAUGAAGUUGCCUGUGUCGAGCAUUCUGGCGUAGGCCACAGCAGGAACCGGGGGGCUCCAGACCUCAUCACCAGAUGGGUUGCGAAGCGAGAGCAGCCCAUCAGCGGUGAGCCGCAGUACAGAACUGGAUGGCACUUGAACCGGAGACUCUUGACCGUCGGAGCUGCUCUUGGCGUACCAAACGACAGUCUCUCCAUGGAUCCUGUUGAACCAGACGGCGAGGAGGUACAAGGAGGAGUUACCUUCUAUUUGUCGGAAACCAAACGCGAAGUCGCCGGAGGGCGAAAGCCAUGAGCUGGUUGGCCCCUGGGGCGUCAAGGAGGAGCCUCGAGUGAUGUUCACUUGUGCUUGGGCAGCAGAUGAAACCCCCAGCAGCAGUAGCAAGAACUGGAGGAAACACCAUGGGAGGCGAGGUGCCAUUGCUUUUUUGCUUUGGUUGGUGCCUCUACUGAUGAGAGCAAAGGUUAUGCCCCUUGGAGAAUGGCACUUAACAGUGGCCAGUCAUGACUCAUGACGCGUCUUCUUCGUGGAACAGCGUGGCACAUGGAAAAUCAUGCCCAUGAAUUGGAUUUUGUGUGGAACAGUCUAUGAGGCUGGGGUUGAAUUGGUCGAUUCCCUCUCCCUGUUAGUGACAUUUUGUUGUCAUGCACAGAAAGGUCUCCGUGCUGACUGUUAAACUUGAAGCAUGACAAAGCGGAAAAAAGUAUUAUUUCUGAAUGCUUUUCCCUCUAUUACAACCGUUCCGAGCUUUCUAGAAUGAUUGUUUCGUCUUUACCAAAUUACCGUUAAGAUAUAUUUUAAAUAAGAAGUGCCAAUCUGCUUACAGAAUUAUUUAUGAACUGAGAAAACACUGAAAUUUAUUUGUCCCUCGAUACAGAAGGCGUCUUCGGUCAGUCUGAACACUAAAUCCUGAUAAAAGUUUCACUAAUUCUUGCCAUCAUCUCCUACUUGCCUAUUAUGAUUUUUCUCACUUAGGCAUCUCAUGGCAUUCAAGAGUUUCAGUUGACUUGACUUGACUUGGCAUGGGACAGCUGGUCACCCGCCAAACUCUGUAAAGAGGACGGCAGCAGUAGGCUAAUAAUCUACCAGCAACAGGUCAGUGGCAUUCAACUGCUCAGCUGUGACCAGUGGCAUGGACUCCUUUUCUAUGAUUGGGGGGAUGCAUCUGACUGUGAAAUGCUUCAUCUUUUGGCAUCGAGUCCUUUUCUAAGUUACAAUUGGUGUUUCCGUGAAGGCGGGGGCACAAGGAUUGGACCCAUUGGUCAACCGGAAUCGUGGAGAUUAUUGUUGGAGGAGUAACUCUCAAGGCGGUACGCGGAACACUCAACUCCCCUUGCCCACGCCUGAAUUUCUGAAGAAAUGAUUUCAUUUUUAGUAAUUUGUGGUUAGUAGGAUUUCUGUUUUUUCAGGGAAAUUUGGUUUCAUAUCUUGGAUUCAUUUUUCUACUAGGGAAACUUGAAUUGGAAAGCUUAUCUGGUGAACGUUUGCUCGGAGCGUUUUCCGAGCGAACGCCCGCCACAGCCUUCGGAUUCAGGUCUGACGGACGGCAUUUUUUGAGGGAAAAAAAGUUGCCUUAUAAGUAAAGAACAGCCAUGUGCGCCUGAUAAAAUUGCCAGGCAACGUACUCUGGAAACUGCCAGCUGGGGCGUUCGGAAAUGCCAUGUCUGGCAGCGAACGUUCGCCCCCUAUUGAGGUCCUGAAUCGGUCAGUUGCUGUUACAUGCUUCUUGAGAGUUGCUACUGUUGUGAGAUUUGUAGAAUAAUUGUUUUGCAUUUCCCGAAUCACCAUUACGGUGCAUUUCUCUUUAUUAAAUGAGAAGUGCCAAUCUGGUUCCAGAAAUGUUUGUUCAGAGGAGUCCAUGAAGAAAACACUGAAACUUAUUUGCCCCUUGACACACAAGAACUCUGGAUCCUGGAGAAAAGUUUGCACACUACUGGCUCUCAUUUCGUACUCCCGAAAAUUCGAUGUUCUAUGGGAUACGCUUCUCACUGCAUCCAAGAGUUUCCAUUGACUUGAGCUGGUCACCUUUGCUAUACACCACUAGAAAAUUUGAUUAGCGACGAUGGACUGCUCAGCUGUGUGGUCAGUGGGAUCAGCUCUGACUGUGACGUGUUUACACUGCAUUGGUGCUUCCGUGAAGGUAGGGGUACAAUGACUCGACCACAUUGGUCACGAUGGAGAUAACAGCCCUAUGUCUCGUGCUCCGAAGAAGCUUUGUUUUAUCUGUCAUGGACAUGAGUUAUAGGGUAUAGAGAGAGUUAGAGCUACCGGGAAAGAAUGAGCCCGCCCAGGGAAGAAGAAGCUGGUCCUUAGCUAUGUGGAGGGGUGGCUUAUAUAGAGUGCGCCACCCCUCACCUCUUAUAUUACAAGAUGGGGCAUUGAUGCCAUAAUGUCAGUCCACUACAGACACUCCUCUAUGCUUCGACUGCCUUGCCGACUGUUGGUAUUUACAUACCCGAGUGAGUCAUACGGCCGAGUGAUUGACUGUCAUCCGAGUGGAUGAAAUGUAUUUGUCCGAGUGGAUCCGUACCGAGUGGAUUAGAUGUUGUCGCGAUCCAGUCGGAAUUUCCCUUGUAGUCCUUAAACUAAUAAUGAGGUGCCCUUGGAUAGGACGUAUAGGUCAGGCCUAUGAUUCUACCCUAGGGCUAUAUCCCCGUCAGCCUCCCUCCUCGCGGUCGCGGCGACGGGCGGAGAUCUCCUCCAGGGCACGACGCUGCCUCCCCAUUUCUCCCCGGAUGUAGUCGUCCCUCGCCCAUUUCAGGGCGGCCUCAUCGUCGUCGAUGGCCAUGGCGAGGUGCUCCUGCUCGACGGGCAGGAGCCCCGGCUCCGUCUUCGGCCGCAUGAGAAGGGAGGAAGAAGCGCCGGGCUCGUUAAUGACGAUCCCGGUGCUGCGCGUGCGCCGCCCCAUCGACGUCUCCUAUGGCUCCGGCUUGACGGGGAGCAGCGUCGGCGAUCUGGAGGAGCGGGAGCGGGAGCCAGGCAAGGAGGACGUCGGCGACUCCAUCCUCCUCGGCGUCCAGGAGCUACCAUGGCGCAGGAGAAGGUCAUCGGGGGAGGGUACUCAUACAUGUGCGUAUUGCCGUCCUCGAUGUGUUCGAGGACGGCCUCCAGCGUGCGGUCGGGGACGCCCCACCAUCGGCGCCGCCCUCGGAGUUGUGCCGGCCCUGGGGCUCGACCCCGUUGGUGGCGGCGAGCUGGUCGGCGUGACGACGGUCGAAGAACGUCGUCUAAAGCGCGUUGCUGUCGGGGGCGUACCGUGGAAGAUUGCGCGAGUUCUCUGGCAGGCCAGACCUAAUGCGCGCAAUCUCCGCCCGCCGCUCAGCUCCGGCGGAUGGUGGCGGCACCGGGACGCCGCCGUCGCUGAGCCUUCAAGACCCCAGCACCCGCAUGUUCUACGGCCCCGGAUACUCCGUCUCGUAGAGGAGGCGUGCCUCAUCCUCGCGGAGGUGACGGCGGAUGAAGCCAUUGGUGACAGCUCCAUCGUCGGGGUAUCAUUCAACCAUUGGGGAGGAGAAGGAGAGAAGGUGAAGAAGGCCGAUGGUGAAGAAGAAGAGGAGAGAGCGUCGGCGGGGAGAAGUGUGUGGCCACCAGCGGGGGUGGGUCGCCUUAUAUAGCCACGGCAGGCGAGCACGCGGAGCAUCGGUGUACGAACACAUGGCAGGAACCGACAGGACGCGCGUCACCGCGCCUUCACUGCACCGCCCGUGAAUCAAUGGAAGGUUGACCGGCGGCGCAACCUUCGCAUUGAUUCCACGGGACACGAGGCGAUGAAGACUACGAGUGCGCGGCCAGUCGCCGACUCGGCGGGUCCAACGGUUUUUCGCACCAAAUCGUUUUCUGCCAGCGCUCCCGGACCACCCCAUCGCCCUGGGUUCGGUCUGGGAUCAUCAGAGCCAAUUUAAACCCGAACGGGCGAAAAAGGGGCUCUGGCGUGACUGGGCCGCUCCGCUUCCGGCGAAAACCUCCAGCAGAACAUUAUCUCCCGCGUAUAAUAAAAUCUCCAAUCACCGCUUGUUUCUGGGCCGCUCCGCUUCCGGUGGAUGCGACGGCGCCUCGCCGACUUGCCGGGCUGCCCUGCCCUGCCCUGCCAUGGUACGUGUGGUACGUCUCUUCUCCCCAUCUGUAUGCCCCCAAUCCUACCGCUCUCCUUCUGAGUUCCAAGAUCUGUUUUUUCUGGAUGCACCACGCGUGUGGGAGAAUCAGAGGUGAAGCAGCUGCCGCCCGUGAGGAACUGGCGACGGGGAGUGGAGAGCCCUUCGAUUUUGGCGUUGGGGAAAAUUUUAGUUUUUUACACCCGUUAAUUUUGGUGAAAUGCAGAGAGUGAGUGCAAGUAGUAUAUAUGCUGCUGGUUGCUGGCAAUCUGUCGAAAAGAAGACGUUUGUUUGUUUUACUAUGGGUAAUGUACCAAUGUACCCAAUUACUCUCUGCAUUACCCUUCAGAAAAAAUACUCCCACUGGUUGACAGUGCAGAGUAUUCCCCACUAAUACUGUCCACUAAUACAGAGUAUUCUCACUAAUUCCCCAAUAAUGCUGUCCACUAAUACCAGCACAUUUCGGAGUUUGUUUGUUUUGAGCGUAUUGACAGUGCAGAGUACUGCCCACUAAUACAUCAGUAGCUAAUUACUGUCUGCAUUACUAUAGGUAUUCCCCACUAAUUCGGAGAGUAUUACCCUCUGAAUUUUGACAGUGCAGACUGCAGAGUAAUAAUUUUCAUAUCUUUCUUUUUUGUAGAAUACAAUGUAGUUCUGAAAGUUGUCGAAAUAUGCUGGUAAUAACAUCUUUUCUUGAUUCACCACCUGCAUGUUAGCAAGGUCUUAUGUGAUGUUCGGCACCAGAACAUACCUAUUCACACCUGACUCUAUUAAAUCGUUGGGAACGUUUGACUAAAAUGGAUUCAUCAAAUAUAUAAUUACGGAUCUGAAUACAGAUAUCGAUCGAUGCAUUUCCUUAAGAUACAGAACUUCUAUGCCCAAUGUCCUAUGGUUAAUAAUGUACCUUUUUUUUUAAUUCGGAACAAUGUUUUCAUACUGGAUCAAACGGCUGAGAUUUGCUUCAUACUUUAGAACUGUGUAAGUUGGAUGAUCAGGGGCCGUCCAGCAGAACCAGUCGCCCGGAAGAAGAAAAAAAUGCAAAAAUAUAUAUUAAAAGAAAACAUUAUCACCCGCGAAUAAGAUAUCCAAUCGCCGCUUGUUUUUCGACCGCUCCGCUUCCCUGCCCUGCCGGGCUGCCCUGCCCUGCCCUGCUUGUGUACGUCUCUUCUCCCCAUCUCUAUGCCCCGAAUCGUACCUCUGCCCUUCUCAGUUCCAAGAACUUGAACUGGCGACGGGUAUUUUUACGUCCCUAAUUUUGGUGAAAUUCAGUGGGUGAGUCGAAGUACUUAUGCUGCUGUUUGCUGGCAAUCAGUCUAAAAGAAGGCGUUCGUUUGUUUUACCUAGGUAGUGCACAAAUGCAGCUAAUUAAUUUCUGAAUUAUCCUUAAAAAAAAUUGUCACUCUCUGAAUUCUCUGAAUUACCGUAGGCAAUGCACAAAAUGGAUUCAGUCAUACGAAUACAGAUACAGAUGCAUUUUCUGAAGAAGAAGAAGAAGAAAAGAUACAGAAGUAUUAUGGUGCUAUCUGCUGCUGCUGGACGUAAGUGCCGGAAAUACAAGGUAGCCAUUAUUCUUCAAACUAUUAUCGAAUUUUGAAGAAGAUAACAUACAGAUGCAUCAAUGAUGCUAUUUGUUCAGCUAAACAUGAGUGCCUGAAAUGCUAUAUUUACCAUUAAUUCUGAAGCANGAAGAAAAGAUACAGAAGUAUUAUGGUGCUAUCUGCUUCUGCUGGACGUAAGUGCCGGAAAUACAAGGUAGCCAUUAUUCUUCAAACUAUUAUAGAAUUUUGAAGAAGAAGAUAAGAUACAGAUGCAUCAAUGAUGCUAUUUGUUCAGCUAAACAUGAAUGCCUGAAAUGCUAUAUUUACCAUUAAUUCUGAAGCACCAAUAGAAUACAGUAUUGCAUAAUCUUGCUUCAUGCUACAACUUAUUUGUUAACAAGCAGGCACAAGUGAACUGAUGAAAGCAAUACAGUAUUGCAUAAUCAUGCUUCAUGCUACAACUUAUGAAAGUGAACUGAUGAAGGAAGAGGGGUCCGGAGGUGUGGGGAUCUGCACUGCUCCAUCAAGCAUCUGUGUCACUUUAAGCAUGGUUGGCCGCAUGGUCGGCUCCUCCUGGAGGCACCAAAGG
rnacentral:lncRNA from 1 species